rnacentral:rRNA from 1 species
AGUCUGCACGAGCGCACCCACGUCCUUAGUUACCAGCAUUUAUUGGGUACCCUAGGGAGACCGCCCGUGAUAAGCCGGAGGAAAGUGUGGAUGACAUCAAGUCCUCAUGGCCCUUACGGGUUGGGCUACACACGUGCUACAAUGGCGAUGACAAUGGGCUAAUCCCAAAAAAUCGUCUCAGUUCGGAUUGGGGUCUGCAACUCGACCCCAUGAAGUCGGAAUCGCUAGUAAUCGCGUAACAGCAUGACGCGGUGAAUACGUUCCCGGGCCUU